rnacentral:rRNA from 1 species
GACGAACGCUGGCGGCGUGCUUAACACAUGCAAGUCGAACGGUGAAGGGGUCUGCUUUUGUGGGCCCUGGAUGAGUGGCGAACGGGUGAGUAACACGUGAGUAACCUGUCCCCUUCUUCUGGAUAACCGCAUGAAAGUGUGGCUAAUACGGGAUAUUCUGGGUCUGUCGCAUGAUGGGUUUGGGAAAGAUUGCGCCUUUGGGUGUUUUUGGUGGGGGAUGGGCUCGCGGCCUAUCUGCUUGUUGGUGGGGUGAUGGCCUCGCGAGGUGGUGACGGGUAGCCGGGCGGGGGGGGUGGACGGUCACACUGGGACUGAGGCACGGCCCAGACUCCUACGGGAGGCAGCAGUGGGGAAUAUUGCACGAGGGGGGCAAGCCGGAUGCAGCGACGCCGCGUGAGAGAUGGAGGCCUUCGGGUUGUAAACCUCUUUCGCAAGUGAAGCAGGCCUGCUCAUUGUGGGUGGGUUGACGGUAGCUGGAUAAGAAGCGCCGGCUAACUACGUG